CCUACGGGAGGCAGCAGUGAGGAAUAUUGGUCAAUGGUCGGGAGACUGAACCAGCCAAGCCGCGUGAGGGAGGAAGGUACAGAGUAUCGUAAACCUCUUUUGUCAGGGAACAAAGGCGGGGACGUGUCCCCGGAUGAGUGUACCUGAAGAAAAAGCAUCGGCUAACUCCGUGCCAGCAGCCGCGGUAAUACGGAGGUUGCGAGCGUUAUCCGGAUUUAUUGGGGUAAAAGGGGGCGAAGGCGGUCGGUUAAGUAAGCGGUAAAAGCCCGGGGCUCAACCCCGGCCCGCCGUUGAAACUGGCAGUCUCGAGUUGGAGAGAAGUAUGCGGAAUGCGCGGUGUAGCGGUGAAAUGCAUAGAUAUCGCGCAGAACUCCGAUUGCGAAGGCAGCAUGCCGGCUCCACACUGACGCUGAGGCACGAAAGCGUGGGUAUCGAACAGGAUUAGAUACCCGGGUAGUC
rnacentral:rRNA from 1 species